CCCGUUGUACACACCGCCCGUCACACCAUGGGAGUUGGUUUUACCCGAAGGUGCUGCGCCAACCGCAAGGAGGCAGGCAACCACGGUAGGGUCAGCGACUGGGGUG
rnacentral:rRNA from 1 species